UCCCCUUUUCAGUUGCUGUACAAAAGCUAAGAAAACGGAAGGCAUCCGAAAGUUAAACGUCGUUGCUUCAUGAAAUGGCUGGGAAAAUAAAGAAGUUUUACGACUUUUCAGCUAAAUUGCUGUCUGGAGAUUUGCUACAUUUCUCCUCCCUAAAGGAUAAAGUUGUGCUUAUUGAAAAUGUGGCGUCACUCUGAGGAACAACAACCAGGGACUACACUCAGAUGAACGAGCUCCAUUCGCAGUAUUCUGAAAAGGGGCUCGUGGUUCUUGGGGUGCCCUGCAACCAGUUUGGCCAUCAGGAGAAUUGUAAGAAUGAUGAGAUCCUGAGGUCCCUGAAGUAUAUCCGUCCAGGAAAUGGCUUUGAGCCCAAAUUUCCACUUUUUGAGAAGAUGGAUGUGAAUGGGAAGGAUGCCCAUCCCUUGUUUGUGUAUCUCAAGGAUAAAUUGCCAUUCCCCUCUGAUGACUCCAUGGCCCUCAUGAGCGACCCCAAGUUCAUCAUGUGGAGCCCUGUCUGCAGGAAUGACAUCUCCUGGAACUUUGAAAAGUUCCUGGUCAGUCCUGAUGGAGAUCCUUACAAGCGCUACAGCAGAAGGUUCCCGACCAGUGACAUUGAGGCAGAUAUUAAGGAGCUACUCAAUGUGAAAUAAACCGUCCAGGCAGAGCUCUCACAGGGGUACAGUGUUGGUGGUGAUAAGGAUGUAGAGGGCCACAGGGACAACACAGAAUGUCUUCACUCUCCUGUUAAUCAGCAGUCACACAUUUUCUUCAUCACAAUCACAAUAUCCCUUCACCAGUACCAACGGCUUUUGCUACUAGCAUCUGCCUCUGUAGGAAUAUGCCUGCUGCAUUUGUUUCAAUUGGCUUUGCCCUCCUGUGCAAGAUACUCUUGUUUUUUUAGACUCUUUACUGAAUGAAGACAUUCCUUAAAACCUUUGUUGUGAGGGGAGUUUCUGAUAAAGAUGUAAAGUCCUGAAUCUAACAGUAGUGUAUUACUCAUGUAUAGCAAAGACCAGUCGUGGAGAAAUAAAUGUAAUAAAAACA